UUGAACCUACGGGACGCAGCAGUGAGGAAUAUUGGUCAAUGGGCGGAAGCCUGAACCAGCCAAGUCGCGUGAGGGAAUAAGGCCCUACGGGUCGUAAACCUCUUUUGCCGGGGAGCAAGGGCCGGGACGAGUCCCGGUCCGGAGAGUACCCGGAGAAAAAGCAUCGGCUAACUCCGUGCCAGCAGCCGCGGUAAUACGGAGGAUGCGGGCGUUAUCCGGAUUUAUUGGGUUUAAAGGGUGCGUAGGCGGGCUUUUAGGUCAGCGGUAAAAAUUCGGGGCUCAACCCCGUCCGGCCGUUGAAACUG
rnacentral:rRNA from 1 species